GCAGGCGGAGGAUCAGUCAUUUGGCUUCACGGAGACUCUCAGUAGAAGCUGCAGCUCUACAACACAGUUACGAUUUGCAUCCAUCACUCAGAAUGAGCUUCAUGGACUCAGUGGAGAAGCUGCUCGACUGGUUCGACUUCAACCUCAACGGCAGGAUGUAUAAGGUCUGGACCUUGGCGAAGACGUUCUCAUCAUGAGUCCACAUGAGCUUUGACUCCUUUUGAAGGGUCUCACCUGGCUGUGCCUCUCCAGUCAGGAAGCAGCAGCAGUGAUAAAGGUUACAUCCUGAUCGACCAUGAACGAGGAGCCUGAACUACUCAGGACGAGGAUUUUCCCUCAUGUCUCAUUAUCAAAGUUUUUGUUGAUGUGUCCUCGGGCGAGAUACUUGUGAAUGUUAGUCUCCAUCUGAUGAGCAGGUUGGCGCCCUGCGUGGUCGCCCCGCUCAUCAGUCUAUAAAUGUGAUGUAGUGUAAAAUGUGCUUUGAGUGGUCAAAAAGACUAGAAAAGCUCUAUACACAUACAGUCCAUUUUAUGUUUUAGCAUGAGUAAGACAUGUCUUACAAAAUGUUCAAUUUUAAAGAUGAACCAAUAUUUCCUUCAAAUGAAUUUGAAUAAAAGCACAAAU